UUGAUAAUAUAGUUUAUACUAUCAUUAAUUAUGUGCACUGUUACCGCCAAUUGGCGCCCGUAAGGUCGUCAAUUGGCCCCAAUUAAAAUAUUUAUUUAUAACUUUUAUACCAGUAAUCAUAUAAACUUACGA
rnacentral:misc_RNA from 1 species